AGAAUUUGUAGGAUCGAGGCCUACCUGUCUAG
rnacentral:tRNA from 1 species